UUCACAAAUAUCCUUGUCCUAUAAUAAAAAUAUUCCUUUCUAUCCAAAGUCCAUCAGGGGUCCAUUAAGGAUUAUGCAACAUUACAAAUUUACCUCAUAUUGAUUAGGUUUUUAAAGAAAAACGUUUUUUAUUUUUCAGAUCAACUUUUCAUCUUCAUCGUCUCCACCUCAACUUCAGCGCCACCUCCACUAGUCCCGUCACCAGUUUUAUCAUCACCUCUUAUACUUCCCCCAAAUCUACCACCACCACCACCAGUUCUAUCACCACCACCUCCUAAACAAUCUAUGUUGAUCGAUGAAUUAACGAGAACUUCUGCAACUACCACCACCAGCUCUGUCGCCGCCAUCGCCACCAUCACGUCCUCCACCAUUAUCUGCAAAUCUAUCAAUAUAAUUGAUUUCGAUUUUGUCCCUGAUGGAUUAGUAAUGUUUUCAAGAAAAAUCACUCAAUUUUUUUUAAAUUCAGAUCUCAAAAUCGAACCUGCACCACCAUCAUCUUCAUUGCAGCCACCAGCACUAACACCAUCAUCUGUAUAUUCGACGCCAUCAUCAUUAAUUACCACCACCACCAUCAACAUCACCACCAUCACCAUCUCUAUCUCGAUCUCCUCAUUUUUGUUUAUUUUUCAGAUCUGGGAAAUUAGUGACAUGGUAUGGAUAUCGAUUUCUUGAAGAUAAAUAUAUAUGAUCUGAAUACCAAUCGACGUGAAGAUUAAAUGGAAAGUGGUAGUGUAUGUUGUUGUAGUUGUGGUGGUGGUAUCAUGCGCAAGACUGCAAGUAGCCGAGUACAUACCAAACCAAUGAUAAAUAUCCAUCUUUAAGACGUAACUGUUUACAAACUUGUGUACUUAUGCAUAUGAUAUCUAAUUAAAUUUUGAUACAAGUUUGAUUCUUUUAAUAAUACUACUUCUUAUGGUUUUAA